rnacentral:piRNA from 1 species
UACCACACAAUCAAGGCCAGCCUGAAACUC